UACGAAGGGGGCUAGCGUUGCUCGGAAUCACUGGGCGUAAAGGGUGCGUAGGCGGGUCUUUAAGUCAGGGGUGAAAUCCUGGAGCUCAACUCCAGAACUGCCUUUGAUACUGAGGAUCUUGAGUUCGGGAGAGGUGAGUGGAACUGCGAGUGUAGAGGUGAAAUGCGUAGAUAUUGGGAGGAACACCAGUGGCGAAGGCGGCUCACUGGACCGGUACUGACGCUGAGGCGCGAAAGCGUGGGGAGCAAACGGG
rnacentral:rRNA from 1 species